rnacentral:rRNA from 1 species
GAUCAUGGCUCAGGAUGAACGCUGGCGGCGUGCUUAACACAUGCAAGUCGAACGAGGAUUUAACGGAAUGCGAUUCGUCAAAUGAAAUUAAAUCCGAGUGGCGGACGGGUGAGUAACGCGUGGAUAACCUGCCUCACACAGGGGGACAACAGCCGGAAACGGCUGCUAAUACCGCAUAACACAAGUAAUUUCGCAUGAAUAACUUGCCAAAGAUUUCAUCGGUGUGAGAUGGAUCCGCG